GGCUACUGCUAUCGGGAUUCGAUUAAGCCAUGCGAGUCGAGGGAAUUCAUAUUCCCGGCUGACGGCUCAGUAACACGUGGAUAACCUGCCCUCAGGUGGGGGAUAAUCUCGGGAAACUGAGGAUAAUACCCCAUAAGCAUCCUUUGCUGGAAUGCUUGGAUGUUCAAAGCUCAAGCGCCUGAGGAUGGGUCUGCGACCUAUCAGGUCGUAGUGGGUGUAACGGACCCACUAGCCUACGACGGGUACGGGCCUUGGAAGAGGUAGCCCGGAGAUGGACUCUGAGACACGAGUCCAGGCCCUACGGGGCGCAGCAGGCGCGAAAACUUCGCAAUGCGGGAAACCGUGACGAGGGAAUCCCGAGUGCUCAUACAAUGUAUGGGCUUUUAUUAUGUGUAAAAAGCAUGAGGAAUAAGGGCUGGGUAAGACCGGUGCCAGCCGCCGCGGUAAUACCGGCAGCUCUAGUGGUAGCCACUUUUAUUGGGCCUAAAGCGUCCGUAGCCGGUCAGGUAAAUCCUUGGGUAAAUCGUACAGCUUAACUGUACGGAUUCCGUGGAGACUGCCUGACUUGGGACCGGGAGAGGUUGGAGGUACUCCUGGGGUAGGGGUGAAAUCCUGUAAUCCUAGGUGGACCACCGGUGGCGAAGGCGUCCAACCAGAACGGCUCCGACGGUGAGGGACGAAGGCUAGGGGCGCAAACCGGAUUAGAUACCCGGGUAGUCCUAGCUGUAAACGCUGCAGACUUGGUGUUGGAGAUCCUACGAGGGUGUCCAGUGCCGGAGAGAAGUCGUUAAGUUUGCCGCCUGGGAAGUAUGGCCGCAAGGCUGAAAC
rnacentral:rRNA from 1 species